AUUAUUUUGGCAGAAUAGUGCGAUUGAUUUAGGGUCUUUUUAUAUGGUAAUCCAUAAAUAAUA
rnacentral:tRNA from 1 species